rnacentral:lncRNA from 1 species
AAAUGUGGAAUGGUUGGCCUGGGUUGGCUUGGGACGAGCUGGGACGCAGGGUCGGGUUGCCAGUUCGGUCUGAAUCAUCGUAGGCCUUGGGUUAAGGCAGGUUCGUGUGGGUUCACGGCCUUGUUUAAUAAUCUUGUAUAGCUCUAGGAUCGUAUUUACAAAAUAGCUUUGAGCAACUAAGUGUCUUUUAAUGCUGUUUGCUGCAAACCCUAACCCUUUAUAUUAUAACCCCCUUGUACUCCCUUGCAUUUAUCCUGCACUUGUGGGUGUGUCUUGUUGAGUACGGUGGUUGUACUCAGUCUUGCUCAAUUUUUCCCAAACCUAGAAGAGGAGCCCCUGGAAGAUGAAGGCUUUGGUGUCUAGCUCGCGCCUGCCGUCAAGCGCCUGUGGUCGUCACCCUAGUCUUCCGCUGUUUCCCGUUUGUCUUUGUGUGUGCUGGGUCUUCGCCGCCCAUGUAAUAAAUUAACUAUUUACGCUUCCGCUUGUUAAACUCUGAACUAUAUCAACUUUUGGUGUACCUUGCCUCCUGGGACAAGGAAUAAUGCACGCACGUAAGGAACGCCCGUUGGGUUAUUUUUGGUCGUGACAAUAGUUAUGUCAAACCAGAUUGGUAUCGGCUGGGCUAUCUAAACUACUAACCAAUUAUAGUAUGAUAUAUUUAUAUAGAUUGAUUCGUCUAUAUAAGCAUGUACUAGAGUAUUAGCUAGUACAUUAUCUUCCUUGCUCUAUUUGCUCUAAAUAUUGUUCUAUCAGCUACUUUCAUAGUAUUGUCUUAAACUUCUUUAUUAAAUUUUGAUGGACAGUAUUACAGCCAAUAAGGCAUGUUUAGAGUUUAAUAUUCACUAAUUUACCUAGUCUAUAGCUAAUUUGGUAUAACUAUAUCGGCUGAGACCACCAACGAUAUGCUACCGGCCCAUCGGCCGAUCGGCUAUCGGUUAACUAAUUCUGCUUUUUGUCUUUCUUGCUGAUUGCAGGAUUAACUCAGCUAGCAUGCCCUUAACACACUCGAGGCUAGCCUUGGACCUGCACUGGAGUUAAGCAGAUCUCCCAGGCCGCAUUGUUUUUACAUCAACACUUAGUUAAUCUAACCCGAUGACUCGAUUUACUUGCAUCGGCCAAGCCUUUUGUAUGGUUUUGCUAGUAUCGGCUAAAUCGUUUAGUCAGUUUAGAUUAGCUAAGAUAUCCACCACCCUAAAAAUCAAUAAAAAGCUUGAUUGUUUAGAUUUUAUGCUUCCUUCCAUACUUAGUGCUGCAUCAAUUGAGUUUGACCUACUAAGUCGUGUUUAGAAUCAUAGCAACUAACCUUGAUUGCAAAUAGGGGAAGAAUCAGGGUUUCAGCUGAUCUUAACUGAUAUGAUUGCCUUUCUUUGUUUAAUAUCUUCAAUCUAGUUUUUCAUGUUAUAUCUGCCCUUUAUAUAAGUAUAUCACUCUAUUUAAAUAUAUCAAGCUUGUAUUCAAUUUUGGCCAGAUUAUCAUAUUUGGGAUUGAUGCUUGUUUGGUAUAUUUACUUAGAAUGAUAUUCUUAUAUAAGGUUGUAUCAGAGCAAUAGCCAAUAUUGUAUCUUUAUUAACCUAAACUCUAUAUCAUCUGCUAAGAUAUUAUUGACGAAAAAUCCGUGAUCGGCCGAUAGUGCCGGAACUGUGUUGGCGCGAACUAAGCCGACGAACACAGCGGCUUGGGAGAUCUGCUUAGCUCCAGUGCAGGUCAAAAAUAUUGAUGAGAUGUGGGCGUGCCAGUCAUUUUGAUCCUACAACUGACAAGAUAUGUAAACAAUAGAUCAAAUAGCCGAUCGACUAACAAGCCGAUGGAGCAAUUCUAGUCGAUACCGAUACCAGCCGAUGUCGAUAGGGUUUUGAGCAAUCAGCUCUAUGUACAAUUAAUGUAGAUUCUAACACUCGAGUAAAUAAUGAUAUAUAGAUAAUCGGCUGAUAAUAAUAUAUUUAAGCAACAAUAUAAUCUAAUAGAAACCAAUCGGCUAAUAAUGAUCAAGUGUUGAUCCAAAGGUUAAAGCAUACAUCGGCUGGAGGUCUGAUGUCAAUAAAUCCAAACGAUUAGAUAAACAGUAAAACCUUUGCUGCAAUCGGCUAAAUCCAACUUGUAUGUAAUCCUUAUAAGCCGAUGCAACAUCCAGAUAACUCAUCAUCUGAAACCCCGAUGAAACCCUUAUUAGCAAUCAAAAAGCAGGAUAGAAAUUAUGGUUCUAAACACGACUAGGGCUGAUGCAGUGCAAGGUAUGAAAAUAAACAUAAUAUCUAGACAACCAAGCUUUUCACUAUUUUUUAGGGUGGUGGAUACCUUAGUUAAUCUAAUCUAGCAUGAUAAUUUAGUCGAUACCAGCAUAAACCCUAAAACGAAUCUCAACCGAUAUGAUCAAAUUAAGAUGCUAAACUAGAUUAACUAAGAUAUAUGAUAACUAGCGGUCGUAGAAGAUAGAUUAGAAUAUCUAAAGCGAUGCCCUAAUCCGCCAACGCAAACCACUGAAACAAGUCAUACCUCUUGUCAGAAGAUCGAGCCGAUGCCCUAACUCAAAGCAAGAACUCGUCGAAAAAGUAGAAAGGUAAAAGGUGGCGAUGCGCUGAAGUUGUAUUGAUUGCGAAAUAGUUUACAAUGACCCCGGGUGUACAAAUUUAUACCCAUGGGUAGAUACUAGUCCUUGUUGGACAAGAAAGAAACUUUACUAAAAUAAAGAAAAUAUAAAUUCCUUAUCGGACACUAAACACACUUUCCUCAAGAUAAAAGGAAACUAACAAACUCUUCCUAAUUAAUAGAUAAACUGUCAUGGAGCAUCCUCUUUGAACUCGGUCAUUUCUAGAUAAACUUCCUUUAAUAGAUUCCUUUAAACCGAAUCUACUAAGAAUCCGACUAUUGGUGACUUGAUAACUCCCAUCGGCCGAUUCCAAGAUGCUAAAGCUGAUAGUGAAUCUAAGCCGAUGAUGACUUCGGGGCUUAUCAAAUUUUGAUGUUAACACAUGGUUACAGAUAUGAUCCGCAAGCGCACAGAUAUACCAUUGUAGCAUUUCACUUGGAAGUAUUCCAAGGUAUCGUAUUUAUUUAAUCCCAAGGGAAGAUAUGAUAAGAGAGUACUUUGCUACUAAUUUAUAUAUUACUUGUAUACAUCAAAGUCUAUGCAGGGGUUAAUUAAUUCAAGGGUAGGAUAAGGUUGACACGAAGAAUGAAGAACUAAGAUACUCUCACUAAUAUAUAUAAUCUAGGCUAAAUGGAGAAAGAAUAAGAAAAUAAUCAUUCCUAUACUUCUAGUAUACAUUCAUCUUUAGUUUACAAUCAUGUAGCCAAUACCCCCUAACUAUGCCCUCGCGGUGUUUCUAGAGACUACCCCUGAUGCCGAGUUCCUUACAACAAUCCGUUAUGACCAUCCAACCGGAAAUGAAUACGGAGGAGUACCCAUACCAGGAAAGUGUCUUUGGACUAUAUACUAACAUGGAGGAAUACCCGUACUAAGCUAUCACCAUCAGCAGCCCACCUCUACUGACCUGCAGUAUAUAACCCCAAUUAAUGAUAUCUAAUAAUCUAAGCACCACGCUUACAUUAUUAAAUACAACUCUACAUCCCCAAGAACGACAUAGAGCAAUCACUCGCAUGAACAUUAAACCCACACCAAUGCAUAUCUCAGGUAAGCUAGCUACACAAUUAUAUCGAGACAAGUAUAAAGUAAAGCCGAUACUCAGAUAAUAUAAAUUAAGUAAAAGACCGAAACUAUAUAAAGAAGAAUAUUUCAUUAACUCUAUAAGUCUUACAAAAGGAGGAAAAGCUACUAGAGCCAUACCCAAAAUCUCUUGAAGACUCGAGGACUAAAUGAACUAUUCUAUUCCUACUCCACUAGCACAAGAAUACUGAACUAAACUUGAGAGAGAGCUCUUGAUUUUCUUCUUGGAGUGUGUGAGGGAGUGGAGGAGGUGAUGGCCUUAUAUAGGCUACUGUUGGUAUUUCUUAACGACAUUACUAGAAAUAUAAUUCCCAGCAAUGGCGCAGAAAUACUUCUGGUAUAUUAUGGUUACAGAGUUCAUCUGCAAGCGCACGGAUAUACCAUUGUAGCAUUUCACCCGAGACUAUUCUAAGGGUAUCGUAUUUAUUUUAUCCCGUGGGAAGAUCAAGUAGAGAGAGCUUGACUAAUAGUUUAUAUAUAACUUGAGAUAAUCAUAUUCUAAGCAGGGAUUAAGAUAAUCCAAGGGUAGAGUGACACACAAACAUUACUACUCAUCCUCAUAAUAAAUUAUCUAAGCUAGGUGGAAAGAAAAGAGAAAGAAAAUCUAUUCCUAUACUUCUAAUAUACAUAGUAUACAUAUAUUCUAGUUAACUGAUAUACUAGCUAAUACUCUCUAUCCGAUGCUCUCCUGGUACUUCGAGAAGCCACCCCUGACUGCCGAGUUCCUUACGAUAGCCCGUCAUGACCUUACAACCGGGGCUAAAUACGGAGGAAUACCCUUCCCAGGAAAUUAACUUAGGAUUAUAUACCGGCACGGAGGAAUACCCGUACUGAGCUGUCACCAUCAGCGGCCCACCUCUCAUCCACAAUAUAUAACCCCAAAUAAUGAUACCUCAUAAUCUAGACACCACGUCUAAACUACCAGAUACUACUUUAAUAUCAUCGUCAUGACAUAGAGUAAUUGCAUAUGCAAACAUUAUACCCGCACCAAAGCAUCUCCUCCACUUUAGUGUCAUUCCCUGCAAAUACUAGUGGAAGUUUAUUAUUCUAAUACAUUUAUGCAUUGCAAGCAUCACUAGUUCUCCUCUAUUUUGGUAAUAUUGACGGUCAAAACUGAUCUAUAACGACCGUCAACAAAACCCCCCAAGCUUGGACCUUUGCUCGUCCCGAGUGAAGGACGAAAGGAAUCAAAGACUUGGUUGUUGAUCAGGAGUUGCUACUAUGCUGCAUAUCUCAAAGAUACAGGUGCAAGGUAUAUGUACUCUCUCUCAGAUUAAAUAAUUUUUGGCACGGUGGCUUACCCUUACCCCUGAUUCCCACGAGACACUGCUUUUCCUUGCCUUGGGCGGUUGAAAGAUUGAACAGCAAUUUAGAGUACCAAUCACCCGAUCUUUAUAUUCAACUCUUAUUCCGGAAGUUUUCAAAUGAUUUUGCAAAAAGAAAACCAAGUUCCUCAAAUGAUUCACUCAGUCUCUCUUAGUGUAUCAACAUGAAUUCCUCACCAAAUGUUGUCUUGUUGAUUCCUACUCUAAGGUUUUAUAUGUAGAGCUCGGUAGGGAUCAAACAUGGCAUACUUGCAUUCACAUUUAUUACUAAGUCAAAAACUUAGACUAGAGCAGAUAACUAAACAUACUCAAGAUCAAGAUCGUGCAUAAUGUGUGUGUGGUAUAUGGUGGAAUGGCACAUGAAUAAAAAAAUAAAGAAAAUGCUUCUCCUUUGCGCUUACUUUCUUCUCCCAAAAAUCCUUCUUUUAUUGAUUAGGAGAGGGCAUGGCUAUAUUAUUUUUUUUCAAUCAUGCUCAUGCUUGAUGGAGCAUAACUUUAUUUUUUUUUCUUUCAUAACCAUGCCUUUCCCUCCUUCUCUCUUUUUUUUUCAAAAAGUAUAUUAUUUUCUUUAGGAGAAGAAAGCACAUGAAAGCAUGGAGAAUUUAUUUUGAUGGUAAUAUGGAAAUGGAAUGGAAUAUUGCUUAGCUCCCAGUGUAGGAGUUUGGCAUAUGCAUAUAUGUGGGUGUAUGACCUUGAUCAUAGAGCAUGAGAAGUAUCUACACAAGUCACAAGAGUUUGAUAGAGUUCAAUGGAAUGACAAGCAACCAAAAUGUAUAUGGUUUAAUCAUGAUAGCAUAUUUUUGGCUCUGGUAGGAAUUUAUAUCAAAUGAGGAACUUUCAAAUUUAUUAGUUUGAAAAACAAAACAUCCGGAAUUCAAGUCAAACUAGUAUCAGGAUCAUAGUAACUCUUAUUUACUAUCUCAUAUCUCACAACAACCUAGACUUAGAUCAGCAAGUGCAGCCCAUUUACCUGAGGUUCCCGGAUAAUUGUUGGCUACUUAUAUUUAACCUUUGAGAGAGUAUUUACCAAGAACCCAUAUAUCAGAGAUAUAAAAUAGAGCAACUAUUUAUCAUUUCAACAAAGAGAACUAGCUUGUCUUACCUAGCUUGACUCAAACCUAUCCUAUCUUUUUGGUAUUUUAUAUUUUGCAAAUUUUUAUGUUGUUUUCAAGUUUUAUAAAAUGCAAUUGGAAAGGGAAAUAUGCAAUGUGAUACAAGUUACCUCAAUAGGGGGGAGCGAUGUCUCCCCCCAAGCUUGGCUUUCGCUCAGGGUCCUUGAUAAGGAUUGAACCCCCGAAAACGGAAGUACGCUUGAAGGUCAUCGUGCUUUUGCUGCAUCAUGUUGUUGUUGUUGGCGAACUGAGCAUUAGCAGAUUGUUGCCAUUCUUGCGUUUGAGCUAUGUGUUCCGUGAGGUUGUACUGGAUCUCCCCCGUCUGCAUAUCAAGGGUGUCCAUUCUCUUAGUGAUUUCACCCAAGUCCCAACGAGAGGAACUCGAGCGCCAUUCACUUGGAGAUGGAGGCACACCACUUGAUCUGGGAGGUUGAUUGUCCCCCCAUUGGAUGUCAUGAGGCGCAUGCCACCGGUCCUCACUGGCGCUUGUCCAGGUUGAGAUUCCGAUGCUAUGGCGUGGAGCUUGGGUCCACCCGGGUGCAUCCCAGUUGGUGCCCAACCUGCAUCAUACAUCUGCACGGGUGUUGAGGAUGAUGAACUUUCUUGCUCAUUCCUUGUCAUGUUGCGCGUCUCCCUGUAUGUUCCACCUGCACGAGAUUCUUCUAUGGUCUGCAGGGGAAUGGUUACUUCAUGGCAGUUGUACAAAUGAUACCCCGCAUUUGGCAACGGGAUUUCAUUUGUACAACCGGGGAAAAAGUAUAUCAAAGAUCCAUCUGCUCCAUGUUUCACAAUAUGCCCUUGCACUAGAUAAGCCUCAUCAAUACGCGGACGAGCGGCUGAGAUAAAAGCAAUUUGGUCGCUAACGACCCCUAGCCCUUUUGCUAUCCGAGUAAUCAGAGAAGUGCACUAAACAGGAGCAGAGAACUUUAUACUUUCUAACCAUUGCCUUAUCAUACAUUUCACAGGAGCAAUUUUGAUUUUUCUAACCAUGGCAAACAUGAUAAUUAAUUCAUCCCCUAAUGGGUAUCAGAUCACCUCUAGGAAACAAAGUCAUAGCAAUCCAUUUGUACAUGAGCCUAAGUGUAGGAUUAUGGAUAUCAUUCGUUCUAGGUUUCUUGCAAAUUGAAGCACCAGAAAUGUCUUCCCAAAACCUAUUUUUCUCGAACCCAGAAAUUCCUUUCCGGAGAUCGAUUUUAUAGGAAUUGUGAAAUCCAAGAAGUGUACUCAAGCCUUUCCAUGUGAGUGUGAACUCCUUACGAAAAAAGUGAAAAGAAAUACCAUAUUCUAUUUCUUUCAAGUGCACAGAAAUUGCAAAGUAAGCAAAUGAGAACCAGGCUCAUCUACCACAGCAAAUCUCUUCCAACCAAAAACUUUCCAGAUAGAACAAAAUUCAACAUCCAUACCUAUCUUUUUUAGCAACUCCGAAGAGUAUUCUCGCGUGUGAGCAUACUCCCGGUCGCUCAGCAUGUAGUAGGCUUGUCUCUCCCGAUCACUGACAAGGUCGAGGUCGGUGUCGUUCAGGAGUCAUCGCGGAACUUUGGCGUCUUCCAUCAAGACAUCAGCUGAUGAACGAGUACUAGACUCAUCAUGAUGACUUGAUGAAGAGCCGGACCCUUUGAAUAGACGAGACAGUCGCCUCCUCAUACUGCACAAUGGAGCAAAAGUGGACUAACUCGGCGGGGGUUAGAAGUGACAAGAAUUUCACCUGCCAGUUAGUUUCACCAAAGCAACUUGUAUAUAUAUGCAACUAAAUUUUUGAAUUUGAGGGAAACUAUCAAAGCUUGAAUGAACUUGAGAGCAAACUUUGGAGCGGGAAUGAAAAUGUGUUGAAAUGGGAUGGAAUUCCCUCUCCCAGCCGACUGGCUUUUAUAGGGUGCCCACAACGGUCAGAAAUGACAUGUGGGACCUACUAGCCGUUACCCUGCCAAAAGUGGCAGGGAGCCGUUGCCUGGCCGGUUCGGCCGAACCAGGGUGUUCGGCCGAACCCCUGGUGGGCCCAACCAGCCCCACUUUUGGCCGUUGGAUUCCAACGAUCAGUGUGGUCGUGGCACAGUAAAUUUUCGUUGAAAAUUUUAUUUUGGUUUGCUCUGAAAAAUUCAUUUGAAGAAUUUCCUCAAAAUUCAAAAAGCCUAAAUGCAUUUUGAAAUUCAAAUAUGUGAUGAUGCAAGAAUUCAAAUUGUUGAAAGCAAAUAUGCGGAUACAUACCAAUUUACCUUUUGAUGAAGGUCGCAUCAUUUUAGGUCCGACGUGCAAGACCGUCCCUCCUUUCGGUUCAGUGCGCGGAUUUUCCACCCGUCUCCGGAGGUGAUGGAGCGGGCGUCUUUGGUUUUCCUUCCACACCUUCUUUGGUUUUGGUGCGGAAGACGGCUUCUUCUGAGCCGGUUGCUCUAACUUCUUGGCCGGUACGGGUGAUUUUACCGGCGUUUUCCAAUAACGGUUCCUGGGCAUCGUUGUUUCCUUCUCCAGGAAGUUCUGCAUAAAUUUCACCAGGCUGUCCGUUUUGGGUGGCUCCACUUUAACCACUUGAAUAUUCUGCGGGUUCGACCCGUACUUUAUUCUGACCAUGGAGCAUUGUUCCGUCCUUGGUUGAAACUCAAAUCUUUCCUCCUUGCCAUUGAUAUGGAAACGGAUACUACUCGUUCCCACAUCGAUGUUGGAUCCUGCGGUGCUAAGGAAUGGACGCCCCAGGAUGAGUGGCGUCUCCUUCCCCGUGUCCAUGUCUAGCACCACAAAAUCAACCGGGAUGAAGAAGUCCCGUAUCUUGACUGGCACAUCCUCUGCUAUCCCUACCGGGUAACGGACUGAUGAGUCAGCCAAUUGGAGGUACAUCAGUGUUAGUGCCAACACCGUGAAGUUGAGCUUGUCGAAGACGUCUUUUGGCAUGACGCUGAUGCUGGCUCCAAGGUCACAUAAGGCCUGGUCGAAUUGUUGUGCCCCGAUCGAGCAGGUGAUCGUAGGACACCCCAGAUCUUUCUUCUUUUCCGGGAGCUUAUGGAGUAUGACGUUGCUGCAUUGUUCCGUUAGCUUGACCACCUCCAUUGUUGGGAGCAGUCUCUUGUUGUUGAGUAUAUCUUUGAGAUAACGGGCAUAUGUCGGCACUUGUAUAGCGUCCAACAACGACACGUUGAUGUGGAUCUUCUGGAUCACUUCAACAAAACGAGCGAACUGCUCGUCCACUGACGGUUUCCUCAUCCGUUGGGGAAACGGCAGCAACCGUGUGUCACAGUAUUCCUGCAGCACGGUCUUUUCUGGCUGAAUCUCCUUGUCAGCCGAGUCAUUAGAUGGCGCUUCUUUUGACAUCCCAUUAGUUCCUGCAGGGUUAGGAUAUGGCGGAUCACGAGUGGACUUACCUCCCCUCGUCGUGAUCGCCUUGACAUUUUCAAUGGAGGAGUCGGGUUGCCUCGGAAUCCUCCCAGUUUCAUUUGCAGGGACUAAAGAUGCUAACUGAGCUAACUGGGUUUAUGUCAUUUUGUUAAAGCUCAGCUGAUUUUGAAAGGCAGAAGCAAAGCCAUCUAACUUGACAUUAAUGUUCUCUAGGACCUUAUCAUUGGCAGCAAGUUUUUUGCUUAAUCCAUCAGUGGUUUAAGCUUGCGCAAAAAUGAGAUCCUUCAGGGAGGGCUGGUUAGAGAAGUUACCGUUAUUGUUACCUCCUUGAUAAUAUGGGCGUGGUUGGUUCCACCCCUGACCUCCUUGUGGACGGUACCCGUUGUUGUUGCCCAUGUACAUCGCCUCCUCACGGGUUUCCGGGCAGUCAUUCCCAGAAUGACCCGUGCCGCCGCAGACCUCACACGUGACGUGUGAGUCCAAGGCCUUGACGGUGCCUUGUGGCCUUUUCUCAUGGUCGUCCAAGCGUUUCAUGAGGAGGUCCAGCUUGGCAGCAAGUAGCUCUGUCUCCUUGACGGUGUGUAUGCCUCGCUGACGGGUCUGGAGUCGUUCCUCGCUCCAACCCAUAUUGGAGACCAUCUUCUCUAUCAGUUCAACGACUCCUUGAACCGUUUUAGAAAAGAAGGCUCCUCCAGCCGUAGCGUCCAGGUGAUCGCGGGACAUUGGGGUGAGUCCAUUGUAAAAAUUCUGCAGGAUCAGCCAGUCGUCCAUCCCAUGAUGAGGACAGGCGGCCACGUACUCCUGCAGUCAUUCCCAUGCUUCGGGAAUAGACUCGUCCCUUGUCUGCUGGAAACUGGAAAUCCUUCCAUGAAGGGCAUUGGUUUUGCCCGUCGGGAAGAAUUUCGAGAGGAAUGCCGUAGAGCAUUUGUCCCAGGUGUUGACAGCAGCAUGGUUGGCAUAAAAUCACUACUUUGCUCUCCCGAGAAGGGAGAACGGAAAUAGCCGCAACCUGACGACGUCGGGACUGACACCCUUAAUGGUGUACGUGCUACAGAUCUCCAGGAACUGUUGCAGAUGAGCAUUGGCAUCCUCAUUAGGCUUGCCAUAGAACGGGCUAGCCUGUGCCAUCGUCAUGAGGCUGGACUUCAAGUCAAAAUCCACGUCCCCUAUGUUGACCUGCGGCCCAAUGGCCACAUUGUCAGCAGAGGGAGCAGCGAACUCGCGAAGAGUCUUGCUGGCCAUAGUCUUGAAGGUCGGUGGCACUGGUAGGGCUGGUUUCUCCGUUGGUAGAGUUUUCUGCGAAGCAACGACUCGCGGCCUGACGCUCGGAAGAAAGCUUCUGGAUUUUCUUUGAAGUUUUCCGGCAGGUUGAAACCUGUCAUGCACUACCCUGUUUUCACAACAAAAAGUGAAAACAACCAAGGUUAGCCUGCAAAGGAAAUGAUUAUAUAGAUGUAAAUAUAAAGUAUUAGUUCAAGUAAUCUCUAUUAUGAAUCUUCCCCGGCAACGACGCCAGAAAUGCUUGUUGGUAUUUCUUAAUGACAUUACUAGAAAUAUAAUUCCCAGCAAUGGCGCAGAAAUACUUCUAGUAUAUUAUGGUUACAGAGUUCAUCCGCAAGCGCAUGGAUAUACCAUUUUAGCAUUUUACCCGAGAGUAUUCCAAGGGUAUCGUAUUUAUUUUAUCCCGUGGGAAGAUAAUGUAGAGAGAGCUUAACUAAUAGUUUAUAUAUUACUUUGUGAUAAUCAUAUUCUAAGUAGGGGUUAAGAUAAUACAAGAGUAGAGUGAUACACAAGCAUUACUACUCAUCCUCAUAAUAAAUUAUCUAAGCUAGGUGGAAAGAAAAGACAAAGAAAAUAUAUUCCUAUACUUCUAAUAUACAUAGUAUACAUACAUUCUAGUUAACUGAUAUACUAGCUAAUACCCUCUAUCCGAUGCUCUCCUGGUACUUCGAGAAGCCACCCCUGACUGCUGAGUUCCUUACGAUAGCCCGUCAUGACCAUACAACCGGGGCUAAAUACGGAGGAAUACCCUCCCCAGGAAAUUAACUUAGGAUUAUAUACCGGCGCGGAGGAAUACCCGUACUGAGCUGUCACCAUCAGUGGCCCACCUCUCAUCCGCAAUAUAUAGCCCCAAAUAAUGAUACCUUGUAAUCUAGACACCACGUCUAAACUAUCAGAUACUACUUUAAUAUCAUCAUCAUGACAUAGAGUAAUUGUAUAUGCAAACAUUAUACCCGCACCAAAGCAUCUCCCAGAUAAGCUAGACGUAUAUUUAGUAUAACAUGAACAUAAUGUAAAGUAGGUACUCAUAUACUCGGAAAGUAUUUCAAUACCAUAAAUGUAUAUAGAAGAGUAUUCUAAUAAAAGUACAAAGCUUACAAAAGAGGAAAGGAAAGCUGUUAGAGCCAUACCCAAAGUCUUCCGAAGGCUUCCAGACUCCUGAUUUCUACUCUAUUCCUAUUCCACCAGCUAGAUACUACUAAACUAAACUUGAGAGAAAUGAGAGAGCUAUUGCUUGAGGUGUGUGAGUGAAGUGAGGAUGAGAGCUCCUUUUAUAGCCUCCCAAUGACGGUUGUGACUGUUGGAAUGGUCGGUAAUACCCUCCAACCGCCACUGGGGAGCCAUCUCAGCCGUCCAGGAGAACCCUGGAUCAAACGGAGCUGCGGGAGGUUCGGCCGAACCACCAGGUUCAGCCGAACUUGGGGCCGGCCCAAUCUAGCCCAAUUUCGGCUAGCGGCCUUCUCCGUUGUUCUUCUCCUCAGACUUGUGAAUUUUGGCCCAGUUUGUCGUGUCAAUUCUGAGUUCUUGGCCCAUUCAUACAUACGUCUGGUUCUCGACAUCGUCUGAUUGAUUUAUCGUUUGAGUUGAUGUCGAUUCUCCUCCACUUUAGUGUCAUUCCCUGCAAGAGGUUAGCAUGCCUAAUACUAGUGGAAGUUUAUUAUUCUAAUACAUUUAUGCAUUGCAAGCAUCAUUAGUUAUCCUCUAUUUUGGUAAUAUUAACGGUCAAAACUGAUCGAUAACGACUGUCAAUAGCUACCAAUGACGGUUGUGGUGGUUGGAAUGGUCGUAAAUACCCCGCAACCGUCAUUGGAAGGGAUCCUAGGCAUCCACGUGCAAGGGGGAGCCAACAGCCAACCCUAGUUAGGCCCAACCGGCCCAGUUUUUGGUCGGUGUGUUGCCUGUUGAUCCAUCAGCCCAGUAGUGUGAUGGUUGGGCCUAUUUGAUAUUAUUUCUCUUAGUAAACAAAUUACUAUUACAUCGAUGGUUCUCAACAUUAAAUAUUUAUCUUGCCACAAAAUUUCACUUAGUAAAUAAAUUAAUAUUACACCGAUGGUUCUCAACAUAACAUAUUCAUCUUGCCACAAAAUUUCUCUUAGUAACCAAGUUACUAUUACAUGUUCUCAACAUAUUAUCUCUUAGUAACUAAAUUACUAUUACAUUGAUUGUUCUAAACAUAUUGAUCUUGCCACGAAAUUCCGUUCCCUAAACUAAUUAAUCCUACUGAUCACAAACAUAUAUUGAUCUCGCCACAAUUCCGUCAUCACCGGCCACGCCAAGCACCAACCCGUGAUGUGUUUGUGCUUCUAAUGGUGGCUGCUAUAACAAUACUGCCAUUUUUCAUUUAAGCAGGUUGUCCAUAGAAGUCAAAUUUGAGAACUUCAUCUCUUCCUUUUUGAAUCUGAUGCAAAAUUCCAUUGUUAACACUAAGAUAACUGAUAACCAGCAGCUACAAUAGAUAGAUUAGAACAUUUAAAACGUUAUACUAAUCCACCGAUGCAAACUACUGUGACAAGUCAUACCUCUCAUCGGAAGAUCGAAGAAGAUGCCCCAACUCGAAACAAGAACUCAUUGAGAAAAUUGAAAACAAAAAGUUUGGCGAUGCGCUGAGAGUAUAUUGAACUGUUGUUGUUCUUCAUACAAGACCCUGGGCAUAUAUUUAUACUCGUAGUACAAAACUUGUUCAUAUCGGACACGAUUCAAACUUCACAAAAUAAACACACCAGCCCAUUGUGGAUGCUAAUAUAGAUUUCUAAAACACAAAAAGGAAAGCUGACUCUUAUCCUAAUUAAUAGAUGCAAUUGCUUCUUUAGACUCUAUCCUUGUAUGGCAAUAAUUCUGAAUCCUCAAUCCGAACUCAUCAUGAACUCGAAAUCAUAUGUAUCGACUAAUCAAAUCCAACUCUAUAUCGACUGAUACAGACUCCAGCAGAUGCAUUGUUUCAUUUUGGAAACCAAACUAACUCCUUCAAAUCCGCUUCGGAUCCAUCCUUAUGUCCACGUAUCUUACCAAAUUUUGUUGUUAACAUCUAUGCUUUGUGGAUUCUGGCUAGAACAGUCACUGGUUGAUGUGUACCUGUAUAGGUAGAUCACGCAUGUGCAUGUUGUUGAUGUAGAAUCGCGCCGCCACAACUUGAGCAUGUUAUGUGCAACCCACGGAAUCACCCGGAGACGCGCCGCUGUAGGGUGUGGGUAGAGGCUGCCGAACACACACCCAGGAGGGACCCCGUUAGGGUGAAUGCGCUCUAGUUUGUGCUAGACUCGGCAGGCCAGCUAGGAUGUCCUUUAACACCGUAGAGACGAGAGGCGGCGAGCAAUUAGGGGAUUUGGGGAGAAUUUACUUGGGAUUGGAAGCAAGGAGGGAGAUGUAGAAUAUAGAGGGUUUGGAUAACUAAAUUGAUUUUGACGAUUGAGUGGUUAUUGUUUCAAUCGAACUUGUCCCCCUUAUAUUUAUAUUAGGGGUGGACUUACUUCCCAUGGUCUUUCCCACGUCCAAUUAGGCUUAGAAAUCAACUAGGACUCGAGAAAUCCCUAUUGUUGGCGGCUAUUAAAUACACAUUUUUAUACCGCCAGCAUUUGCAUAAAACUCAGAUAAUAAAACAUCCAAUAUAGUGGUAGGUGUUAAUUCUAACAUAUUCCACGAGUGUUCGUGUUUAAUUGAUGCAGGUCCUAAACCACCGAAGUUGGGAGGAAAAUCAGACUAAAGUGAAGAAGGAACAUAUCCAUACAAGGGAGGGGCUUUAGACUUCACUAAAAUACCAGAGAAUCAGCCCAAAACUCGCAGUAAUGGAUAAGGCAGAACAGGAGGAGUCCACAGGCCAAAAUUGAGGGCCAGAUGGGCCAGCCCAGAACCCUGAUCUCCACCGUUGAUCCUGGGGUUUGGAAGGGAUGCUCCUGAUUUGAUCCUAAUGGCGGUUGGAGGGCACUUUGGACAAUUCCCGUUCCACAACCGUCAUUAACUGCCUAUUUAAGGAGCUUCACUCAUUCACUUCUUCACACACUUCCAAGCUUGAGCUGAAUUAUAAGAGGCUCUGUUGUACUAUUUUGUAUACUAGAAUUAGGAAGAGAGUAGAGUAGAAGAAGUCGGAGGAAUUUCGGAGAUGUCGGUAAUCCUCUCAUGUUUAUUUUAUUCUGUUAAUUACUCUGUUUUCAAUAGAAAUAUCUUUCUGAGUAAUUUAGAUUUACUUGUGAGUACUUGUGAGAAUUACCUCUUAUAAGAAUUAUUGUUCACUAUAAUCGACUAAAAUAUAGUGAUUGCUUUAGUGAGUUAGAAACACUAAAGUAGAUAUUAAUUGCUCAGACGUGGUGUUUAGGUAAUUUAUAUCCAGUAAUUGUUGUGUAUCCCACAGUACGUUUGAGGUGGGUGUAGAGGUGGUGACAGCCCUCAAGAGCACUUAAGUCCUCCCUGUCAGGGUAUGUAGUAGAGCGACAUCUAGGAACAGCGGGUUGCCAGUGUCUGAAUUAUCGCGUUAGGAUUAAAAUUAAACUUUCCUUAGACAAUGUUUCUCACUAGGAAAUCCUCUCUAUCCUUUGCGCAUCUUAGCUUGGUGUCCUUGGGUGAACCUGAUAAGGAAGUAAUACCCGUUGCCUGUGGAAAUCGAUACCUAAGAAUAAUCCCAGGUGAAGUGCUGCAUUUGUGACGUUAAGAAAUACCAACACCGAUCUAAAACAAGGAAAUACGAGAAAUACCUAAAUUGGACUCUGACUCUAUGCUGAAGGUCUGACCACCCGGCGGUCUGAUCACAGCUCAUUGUCCGGUCUGACCAGCCACACUACGGCGGUUAGACUGGCCUUCGCGGGAAUGACUUGGUAGUUUCCAAAUUUGGCUCAAACUAGCUAUAACAUGACCCGUGUCAAAUUUGGUUACUGCCUAUAGAUCAUGUGACAGAUUUUUUAGCCUCCUAUGAUGCACAUUUCUUACCCUUUAAAUCAACAUCUAACGGAUGACAUUAAUAUGCACAAACAAAAUACAAAAAACAAACAAACGAGCCACGUGGACAAUCUGAAGCUCAUGGGGCUCAAAUGGGCUCAAGUAGAUUUCAAACUUACAUCGUAAAUACACUAAAAUUAUAUAUGUAAUUUUCAGACUUACAUCGUAAAUACACUAAAAUUACAUAUGUAAUUAAUAUAUAAUUAUAGUGUAAGUACGAUGUAAUUAGUACGCGUGGGAUCAUAAAUAAAUUAGCAUUGAAAAACACGUACGGCUAGUUUAACAACAGGGAACAGUAACGUGGACCUAGUUAAUUAGCAACGUGGACCUAGUUAAUUAGCAGCUAGAUGCUAGCACGGAUCUCAAAAACCAUAUCCUACGGCAAAAAUGCGAAUGAUGGAAGGCUCAUAAAUCAGUCAAACGAUAGUUAGCAAUUCCGUUCUAAAUUUGGCUCAAACUAGCUAUAACAUGACCCGUGUCAAAUUUGGUUAUCAACACAUGUAUAGCUCGGAUGGAGGUGGGUUGAUCGAUCUUAUCAGGUGAUUGAAUCGUCAUACAUGCAAAACAAAGCAAUCAUGAAAAUCAAUCCGUCAGUAAGCUGAAAGAUAUAGAUGCUUCAUAUAUCAAUGUAUUGUGUGUGAUUAAGUCAUGCAUGCCGGUUGAAUUACACAUGCACACGAGUUAAAUCGUGGUUGCCGGCGGCUCCGCGUGCGAUUAACGUUAAUAGGUUGUGGACACAACCCGUAGACCUGCCUUGUUCCCAUGAUGAGCGUGACCCGCACCGGCGUGUGCAUUGAGUGCAUCAAGGAGCACGUCGGGCUGACGCACUGGGAUGACGACCACUCAUCUCGAUCUCAGCUAGCAUUUGAAAACAAGAAAGUAACAGGAGAUCAAUCUACCUUUAGAUAUCAAUCUAAUAGAAGUUAGAUUGGAAUGACAAACCCAGGUUAGAGAUUUGAGCCAUCAAACUCGUUGAGAUUGAUCUCAACACUUCUCUAGAAGUUGAUUCUAUCGCACUUCUCGACAACAAACUCGACGCGACCGCUACCUAACGUGCCAAACUAUCGAUUUUGGAAAUUGACAAUGAUAAGGGGGUAGGGCACGAGACCUAAAAGUGGAUAGAUGCGAAAGACGAGAGUUUAGACAAGUUCAGGCUCUCUGAAUAAGAGGUAAUACAUUACUUUUGUUUGGGGAUUGUAUUGGUCCGAUGAUCUGACUGUGGCUUAUGUUGCUAUACCCUUUAAGGUCUCCCUACUCACCUUAUAUAGGUUAGGGGCAGGGAUACAAAUUAAAGAGAAAAACCUAGCCGGACACGAUACAGUUUGCUAAUCUAUUACAUGGUAGUACUCAAUCGGGACUCUAGGUCCUACAAUAGAACACAAGGCAACAUUGUGACCGAGCCAUACUUUAUCUCUAUCUCUACUAUUAUAAAAAUUGAAGAUUUUUUUGCUAGAAUUUUAUAUUUAUGUCAAAUCCUUUCCUUUUUUCUUACGCCAGAGUGUCCCUCUUAUCUAAGAUGCGUGCAAAUUAAUUAGGCCCGUAGCAUUUCACGCGCCCCUUGCCACACACGGCAAUCGGGCCCGUGCCUGAGAAUAUUUCCACAGGCGCCUUUGCACGGCAACGCCCUCGCGCGCAUGAUUUGCCUUUGCCGUAUGUCCGAUUGGGACUGCGUCGCCCUCACCCGUGAUUUAAAAUUUUUUUUCUUUUUUGUGAAAACUAUGGUACGUCGCCUGUAUCUGAUUCCGUUACGUGUAACAUUCAUUGCGAAGUCAUGACUCGCGAGCGAACUGCGAAAGAAAGUCCGUGUCGUAGAGUCCAUGUGGAUAUCACAUACGCCGUUGCCCAGAUUAUCCAAUUCUAUUCAUAUUACACGACACGGUUCCUGGGACAUGUUAGCAUGAUUUCAAGUCACUCUCCACACAUGCUCGUACGUACUACCAGAGAUACCGUUACAAUAAUCCAGAAUCAGUUUUACUUUUGAAAAGAACACGCCAACCGAAAUAGAGUAUGAUCGAAGUUGCUGAUUCCAUCCGUCAUCAAUUCCUGCCCGACUUGAGAUAAAGCUGGGCAACAAAUCGAGCUCGUGUUUGAAGGCCUCAUUGUUUGGCUUAUGCUUAUUCCUAUAAGCCAAGUUUUAAAUUUUAGAACGUAAUUUUAAAUUUGACUUUUUGGUUUUUUUAUCGUACUUUAUUUUACAGUAUUUGCUUUUGAGUCGCUAAGAACUUGUGUAUGAGAGAUUUGCACACAAAUAGUCUUUUAUUUUGUUGUAAGUGAUUCCGAUAAGCACAUGAAUAAACGAAACAAUGGCCGCCGACACAUGUACAAAUUAAAUUGGCUCAACCCGUUGUAAUGCACGGGCAUCUUUUCUAGUUAUAUAAUACAUGAAUCCAGCCCACCUCCUAUCUAUAGUCGGAUAUGCAGACCGUAUGGGUACCGGGUACCCAUAUUCUCCACGGAAGAUGACAAUGGUGGCAAUUUCAUCUCUUGUGCUUGGACUGCGAUAAAAAGAAUAGUUCGCUGUUCUUUCUCGAGAAAAUCCAUGAAAUGCAAUUGACAAGUGUCCUAAUCGAAGAAAUGCCAUUGACGAACGCAACUUCUAGAAAAUGCCAUCGUACGAAUUAACUUCUCCCAAAAAUGCCACUACCGUUUGGUUUCUGUUAAUUCCACUCCGUUACACCUAUUUAUUUUUUUUUAGAAAAGCCCAAAGUGCCCUCAGUACAUACUAUACUUACUCUAUCCUUUAUUUCUUUUUACCUAGUAAAGACAAAUUCGACAAAAUGGAAACAACACCUAACCCUAGCCCCGAUCUAGGAGGAAGCUGAUUGGAUCCCGGCGGCACCGCGGCGCUCCCGACCAAUGAUGGCAGCGGUGGGGUGAAUCCUCACGGCGACGGCGGCGUGGGUCUCCCAGCCAGGGCUACGUUGGGCGGUGGCGUGGGGGGGGGGGCGAGGCUGCGAUGCUGCGCUCCUAGGCGGCGGCAUGGGGGCGCAAGGAGGUGCUAGGGUGGCCCCAGACAAUGGUGCAUGGGCCCGAGGAGGAGGUAGGGCCACUCCAACCGGCGGUGGAAGUGAGGCUGGAGGCGGUGGCGCCUCACUCCCAGGUAGUGAUACGGGGGACGCAGGCGACAGCACUGUGGUCCCUGAAGGUGGUCAUCUGCGAUAUAUUAUCCAGAAGUGAGGAAAUCCAAGUUUCUAUUGUCAUUGACAAAAAUUGGUAUAGGUCCAUUUACCCACUGAAAUGUGUUGAUUUGUAAUGAUUCAAUUAUGAAUAUAUGAUUAUUGAUGUUUGUAAUGAUUUUAUCUUGAUGUGAAGUCCUGUUUUUUUCAAGGUUCACUUUUUUAGAGUUCUGCUUGUGCUGUUCUGAGCAUAGUGGUGUUCAUGUGAGUUCAUGCCUAGGUAUUUGGCCAUUCCCUUUAGUUCCUGACAUUCAAUAAAUUUAGACAAAUUUUGGUCUAGAACUCGAAAAUGAGUUCCUAUAUAAUUGUGCUACUAUUACAUGUGUGUGAAAAUUGAAAAUAUCAUAAUGUCUCAUUUUUAGUUUUAGUAAGAAUAUUACCUGGUGCAAAUAUUACAAGAGAAAAUCCACUCUUUACCAAAGUAUCAUACAAUAGUUUUGCAGAUACAUUAUGUAGCAUUCACAUGGGGCAAAUGGUCUUUUCACCAUGUCCAACGGAGUAUAGCUAAGGGAGUAGUGAUGGUGAUGGCAUUUUUGGGAGAGGUUGAUUCGUACGAUGGCAUUUCCCGGAAGUUGUAUUCAUCGAUGGCAUUUCUUAGAUAUAGACGGUUCUGUUUUGUUCUAAGCGAGCUAUGCUGUGUUGAGUCUCCAGCGUGUAGUUGUAUCAGAACCCGGUAUGGCUUCAGUAAAGCUGGGUCGUGUAUGCCUUUUGUCAAAAAAAAAAAAGAAGAAAAGAAAAGAUGAGUUGAAUUGAAAAGUAUCAUUUAAUAGCUCAAAAAGUUUGCAUUUAACUUUAAAGUAUCGAGCUGAUUCCUCCAAAACACACCAAAAAUAUGGAUAAUUAUAACUGGUUGGCUUUUUGCAUAUACCUAGCGGCCUUCAAUCUUCUUUUUGCAGCAAAGACAAAGCUAUUCUUUUUCUCUUUGUUUUUUCCUUUUAUUCUCUUUCUUGCUCACUUUUGCUCAUGCUCACGUGCCCCUCAGUACUAACUUCCCUCCGUCCUCUCGCAAAUUAAGCACUUUCCUCUUUCCUUUGCAUCCUGGUAAUCUUUCCUUACUGUUAUUGAAAGAAGACAAGUUUUAGCGCAAAUGAACUGAUGGGUUCCUCCUUUUCAUCUCGUUUGCAACUUCCUCAGAUUCCUAAAUUGCUUGAUCUCAGCCCUCUGCCUCCUUGUGCACUGGCAUUUACUGUAUCUAGCGUUCCUGUUUCUUCCUUUUCCAGCCCCUUGCAAGGAUCUUUCCUGCUUCCUUUACUGAACUGCUUAUAAGCAUGCACAUCGCACUGUCGUUCUGUCAUAUCCAUUCCCUCCCGUGGACAUCUCCGACGAGCCUAGGCUGCUGCUGCUGCUAGUAUGCACAACUCUUUCUCCUAUUGUUUUGUUUUGAUUGUUCACAUCACCCUCAAGUCUGAGAGCUAGCUGACCAAUCUCUAGUUCUGUUCAAUGCUCAGGGGUUCAUCAGGAAAACAUGGGUUUGCAGAGGAAAAUCAAAAUUCUAGCCAAGAGAACCAUCCAGGAGGCGCAAGCUGUAACCCUACAUCCCGCGAAGACGAAGCGGCCCCGUUCAGAGGAGGAAGAAGAAGCAGCAGCUUCGACGCCAACAGCUCUCUGUGGAGGAGGAGGAGGACUUGAAGGUGCUCUGCACUGCCCACCGGCGCCGAAGAAGCCGAGGCUUGUGAUGGGUUGCAGCCUGAACGGGUUCAAGGUUCUGAGCGUCGUGGAUUUGCGUUUCUUCCUGCGUUGAAGCGGCAGCUAGCAUUGUUUUUGUACAGGCAAGAGUUAGCAUGGUGCCUGCUUAUGAAUGUUUGUGAACGUUGACAUGGAACAAACAGAUUUGCUUUUUAGUUUUUUUGUCUUUUCUUAACGGAAGCUAAUUUCACUUCUUCCCCAUCUCCAUAGCUCAAUUGGCAAGUUGACAGUAGCCAGUAGUUCUUAGGGUUCCGCAAAAAAUUUGUUCGCCCAACUGUUUGGACAUGAUGAAAAAUCGCCGAUAUUCACGAAAUUCAGACCAUGCCAAAUAAUUUUUCUACACUGGCGAGUAAGUACUUGUUUAGCUCAGCCUAAAAAGGAAAAAGUCUAUGUACCACAUAUACUUGAUAAAAGUUUAUCUAGCAUCGUAAAAAAAUAGGCUGUGUUAGGGAGGUGAAGUUUGGAACUCACCUCCUGCGCACGUAAAACGGAACAACGCAUUUUCUUUGAUUAAUUAAUUGUUUAAUAACUUUUUUAAAAAAUAGAUUAAUAUGAUUUUUUUAACGUAACAUUCGUAUAGAAAAUUUUUACAAAAAACAUACCAUUUAGCAGUUUAAAAAGCGGGCGCGGAAAGAACACUGCUAACUAAUGUAGUAUGUUUGCAUAUCGUCAAUCAUAUAGUAUAGUGGCUUUUGGAUAGUAGUUUUGGGUAUUUGGAACCUUAAAUCAGCAGUUUUAAAUAACUAAUGUAGCAUGUUUACAUAUCGUCAAAUCACAUGUGACCAAUUUAUACUCCAUAGUAUUGUCAUACUAGAAUUAUAUGGGCAUUCUUUUGUAAGCAAUUAAGAGCAAAAAGUUGGGGAAACAGAAGAUUUCGCUGAUGAUUUUAACACAUAUGUCCAAAUUCCAAUGCAUAUGUCACCUAGUUAAACUAAUCCAACAUAUAUGUAAAUUAGAUAAAAAUCAUUUUGUAAAAACUACACUAGGGUGCAAUAUAAACGAUAUUAUAUAGUAGUUCGGAGGGCUGGAUAUCUCAUUUCAAAGUUCAAGCUGCUAGAUAGACUUUCAAUAAAAAAAUAUGUGUAGGGAUGAAAAUAGAUUGAAUCUAUUAUGAAACAAGAUAUAUGAUCUCAUCCAUAUAUAUGGAUGGAUCGGCAACCAACUCCGGGGCACGGUGGUGCCCCACGUCUUCAGGCCCUCACGCACUCCUGCCAACAUGCCUCUCUCCCCCAUAUAUAUUGUAAACCCCGUGAUCAAUGAGGCUCAAUCUCUCUUACUAUUUGGAACAUUGAGUUUGAGAGGAGAGAAGAGAAGAUUGAGAAGAUACGUAAAACGAGGUGAGCCAUUAGCGCAUAAUUAAUUAAAUAUAAAUUAUUUUAAAAAUUAAAACUGUAUCAAUAUGAUUUUUUGAAACAACUUUCAUAUAGAAAUUUUUUUUUAAAAAAACACACCAUUUAGUAAUUUGGAAAACGUGCUCGCGGAAAACGAAAUAACUUUCACACAAUGUGCUGCUGCCGAACGUUAAGGAGAUAUCCUGAGGUCGAGAGUUCUGGCUUCUCUCGCCCCCAAGUUAAUUUUCCAGAAAAGGGAAAAACCUGAUAUUUUUGUAAAAAAACAGAGGAAAGAACCUUUCUCUACCCGAGAAAUCCAACGCUGUCUUGUCACUUUUCAAAUUUGAUCUCUCUUCAAGCACACGCACUUUCAUUUGUAGGACAUUUGGCGAGACUCCCACAUCAACAAAGAAUCGGUUAUGCCUGGUGGCUGAACCAUACUGUAACCAUUGCGAUACCAGCAGCCCAGUUCUCAGCGUGCCUUGUAGUCCAUACAAGCAUAAUGAUCACACUGACUGAACUGUAUCCACUGGGCAGAAGAUUACGGCCCGGGUUAGAGCCCACCCUAAAAUUUUACAUCCUAUCACAUGGAACGUUUGAACAUCAGCAUGAAGUAUUAAAUAGAGGAUAAAACAAUAAUUAAUUGACAGAUUGUGACUAAUUUGUGAGAUGAAUCUUUUAAGUCUAAUUGCUCCAUGAUUUGACAAUGUGGUGCUACAGUAAACAUUUGCUAAUGACGGAUUAAUUAGGCUUAAUAAAUUCGACUCGCGAUUUACUGACGGAUUAUGUAAUUAGUUUUUUUAUUAGUGCCCGAACACCCCAUGCAACACCCUAUAUAAUACCCGAUGUGACACGCCAAAACUUUACACCCCUGGAUGUAAACACCCCCAAGAUCUAAACACCCCCUACAUUGUUUGUGUGUUCAGUUGUUUCCAUGUGAAAGCAGGGAAAAUAAAUUCUCGUUCACCUUUUAUGCCAAGUUGCCAACACUACUUAAAAAAAACCCUCAUACAUACCAGCUCAUAAUACCAACACCUAUUAAACCCUCAUACAUACCAGCUCAUAAUACCAACACCUAUUGACCGUUCUCACCUCCAUGGGAAGAAAAAAAAUACAAAACCAACACCUUUCAACAACUAUAAUAAUAUAUUGUAGGUAUCGGUUCUUAGAGAACCGACACCUCAAAAAACCUGAAACGAGCCACUACUUAACCCCACCAAGUCCUCGCGCAUCUGCUCCAUCCUUAUCCUCUCUCUCUCUCUCUCUCUCAUCCUCUCCUCCCUUUGCGCCACAUCCAUCUCCACCGCCCAUCACUGCAUCUAGCGUCGCCGCCCGUCGUGCCACUGGAUCUAACGGCGGCAACCUCGGUGCGGAGAGGAACCCUGGUGGAGACCUCGGCGCAGAGAGGGACCCCAACGAUGACCUCCACAUCGCUCCUCCGACGGUGACACAAAUUGGCAACGACAGUGGGACCGGGGAGAGUGAGUUCAUCUUGCUUGUGUAGUUCUUGAUCUUGUGUUGUUGUUGAUCUAUGAUCUGUGAUAUGUGAAAGAUGGGGUGAGGAUUUUUGUUGUUGAUCUGUGAUGGAUGGGAAUGAGAAUUGUUUGUUGAUUUGUGAUUUGUGAAGGAUGGGAUUAGGGGUUGCUUGAAGGGGCGGCUCCAAAGCAUCUCCUCAUCAAGCCGAGCCGAUGGUUGGAGCCAGCUUCUCCUUUUUUCUUUGAAAUGGGGAGAGCACAAAGGUGCCAGUUCUACAACGGCACCAAUGAAAUGGGGAGAGCACAAAGGUGCCAGUUCUACAACGGCACCAAUGACUUAGCAUCAUUGGUGUCAGUUGCGAAACCGGCAUGUAUGCCAAGUUUGCAACCAGGUGUUCUGCAGUAGUGCAACCAAGAUCGAGUUCAUGUGCUAGCAAAAAAGUAACGAUACUUUGAAACGGAGGAUUGAGAAAACACGUGAAUAGAAAAAAAAUGAGGAGUAGAAUGCCACACUUUUUAGAUUCCUAUAGUGUUUCGAAACACUGAAAGGUUUAAAAUUGUUGUUUGAAUGCUCACAUGACAAACACAAUAAUUCUAUACACAUGAAGAAGAAACACCAGAGGUAAGACCUCAUGCGUAAUUUCCUCAAAAAUGUUCUAGAAUGAUCCAUUCCAUAGGAUUUUUAAAGGAAUAGGUAGAAAAUAAUCAUUUUGUUUCGAAAGGAUCCAUUCUCAUAUGAAAUUCUCUGGAAUUCCUAUGAUAUGAAAUUCUCUGGAAUUCCUAUGAUUUUGCUCUGUUUCGGAGGGGCCUAAAUAUCUAGCCAAUGGUGAUUUUGGUUGCACAUUAGAUAAGGAUUUACUCCCAACGAACUGAUAAUACUUGUCAUUUUAGAGAAGGGUUAGAUCAAACUUUAGAAUCAUUGAUUAUGAAUUAUUUUUAAAAUAUUUAUCUUUCAAAUAUGGUGACUAUAUGUAUAGAUUAGUUUUAAAAAGUACUUUCAUAAAAUCAUAUAUUUGUUAACAAUUUUAUACAUAUUAUAAUAAAAAAUAAUGAUCAAAGUUAUUUUUUUGAAGACCGUGCCCUUAUCUAAACGACAAGUAUUAUCAAUCCGGAGGAAAUAGUUAUUUUGAUGUGGAUUAGUUAAUCAUUCGUGGUGCGUGAAUCAUGUUUGAUCUGUUUUUUUAUUUAUGUAGGGCCCUCCAUGGUAACUACUACUCCACCGUGUUUAUAUUACUAGUGUCAUGCACAUGUUUUAUAGGGUUCUGUCUUUUAUAUCUUGUGUUUUGGUGGGUUGUUUUUUUUGGAUGGGCUGGUUUUUUCGGGUAGUUUUUUUAUGUGGGGACUACAAUAGUGGGGACGAGGACAAUGCCUCUUCUUUCAAAGGUAAAAGAAUAAUCGAAUAUUGAGCAAUCAAAUUCAGUUAGUAGAGAUAAGUCAUUUAGGGUUUAUCCUAAUACAAACUUUUUAAAUUUAAUCAUGUUUAUUUGUAGAAAAGUUAGUAGCAUUUACAACACAAAAGAAAUAUACUAAGGAAAUAUAUUUACGAUGAAUUUAAUAAUAUUAACUUGGUAUUAUCGAUGCUACUAUAUUUUUGUAUAAAGUUAGUUAAAAAUGAAAAGUUUAACUUAGAGAUAACCUAAAACUUCUUAGGCUGAGUUUGUUUGGGUGAUAGGGAGUGAGAUGCUUCGCUACUUAAUUAGGUAACAUUAGGCGGUUUUACAACUCUAGACUUUGGGAUAUUCAUAUCACCUGGACACUUUGGAAUUGUUGGAGUAUUGUGGAAUUGGAUUCACACCGCCCCCUCUAUUCAAAAUCCCCAAAAUGGUUUUAGGCUGGGCUCGGGGUGCAUGGUUUUGAUAGUAGCACCUCGGCCAUAUAAGGACCGGUCUUCGGGCCUCUGUUGCAAAGCACUACCGUACUUCCACAUGUCUAGUGGGUAAGGCUUACUUUGUGGCUCAGUCUGGUUAUAAACAAAAGUACACGGAUGGAGAUGGACGAAGUCGGGGGUCGAUGGACAUCUCCAGGGCAAAUGAAGGCUACACGAGCUGCGGCCCGGUAGUCGAGAUGUCGUGGCACAGGGCCGGUGUCCUGCUGCUAGGGGCUCAGUCCUGCCUGCCUGUCCCGGGGGUUCCGGCCGUAGGUGGGAUUGGGUCGGUACUCUUGUCUAUGGCUAGGAUGGGUUGGAAACUAUGUCAUGUCUUCCGUCCGUAUACCAUGGUGGUAUGUGGCACGUGGUUACACGUGAGGAAGAUGUGUCUUGUGGGUAAAGAUGUACACCUCUAAUCAGAGUAUAAUCUAUUCGAAUAGCCGCGCCCUCGGUUAUGGGCAAGCCGAGCAAUGUACCCAAAUUAGUGUUUUAAUUCUAAAAACCUGCUUAACAACUAAAAUGUGGAAUGGUUGGCCUGGGUUGGCUUGGGACGAGCUGGGACCCAGGGUCGGGUUGCCGGUUCGGUCUGAAUCAUCGUAGGCCUUGGGUUAAGGCAGGUUCGUGUGGGUUCAUGGCCUUGAUAAAUAAUAUUGCAUAGUUCUAGAAUCGUGUUUACAAAAUAGCUUUGAGCAACUAAGCAUCUUUAAAUGCUGUUUACUGCAACCCUAACCCUUUAUAUUAUAACUCCCUUGUACUCCCUUGCAUUUAUUAUGCACUUGUGGGUGUGUCUUGUUGAGUACGGUGGUUGUACUCAGUCUUGCUCAAUUUUUCCCAACCCAGAAGAGGAGCCCCUGG